UCCAAGUUUCAUGUUGAGAUCGCAGUUUAAAUCCUAUAUAAAACCAUCCAAACUCUGUCAUUCACAUUAGAGGUUGGGAGUGUGUGUUUAAUUUCCAAGGAGUGCCUCCAGUAGCCUCAUGUCUAAUACUUCAGUUUCCAUUGCUACCCUCACAGUUGCCCUAGUAGUGGCAGUAUUGGGCACAGUUGCACCUCAUGCUGAGGCUGCUCGUGCUUUCUUCAUCUUUGGUGACUCACUUGUCGAACAAGGCAACAACAACUACUUAGCAACUACUGCACGUGCAGACUCCCCUCCGUAUGGCAUCGAUUAUCCAACUCACCAAGCCACUGGCCGCUUCAGC
rnacentral:lncRNA from 1 species